rnacentral:rRNA from 1 species
GACGUACGCUGGCGGCGUGCUUAACACAUGCAAGUCGAACGCUGAAGCUUGGUGCUUGCACUGGGUGGAUGAGUGGCGAACGGGUGAGUAAUACGUGAGUAACCUGCCCUUGACUCUGGGAUAAGCCUGGGAAACUGGGUCUAAUACUGGAUAUGACAUGCCACUGCAUGGUGGUGUGUGGAAAGGGUUUUACUGGUUUUGGAUGGGCUCACGGCCUAUCAGCUUGUUGGUGGGGUAAUGGCCUACCAAGGCGACGACGGGUAGCCGGCCUGAGAGGGUGACCGGCCACACUGGGACUGAGACACGGCCCAGACUCCUACGGGAGGCAGCAGUGGGGAAUAUUGCACAAUGGGCGGAAGCCUGAUGCAGCGACGCCGCGUGAGGGAUGACGGCCUUCGGGUUGUAAACCUCUUUCAGCACGGAAGAAGCGAGAGUGACGGUACGUGCAGAAGAAGCGCCGGCUAACUACGUG